rnacentral:misc_RNA from 1 species
GAUGAAGAACGCAGCGAAAUGCGAUAAGUAAUGCGAAUUGCAGAAUUCAGUGAGUCAUCGAAUCUUUGAACGCACAUUGCGCCCUGUGGUAUUCCGCAGGGCAUGCCUGUUCGAGCGUCAUUUCAACCCUCAAGCCCUGCUUGGUGUUGGGCCGGGCCCGUCGCGGCCGGCCCUAAAGACAGUGGCGGCGCCGCUCGGCUCUCAGCGUAGUACACCCCUCGCUGCGGUCCCGGGCGGCUGCCCGCCAGAACCCCGACUCUGUGGUUGACCUCGGAUCAGGUAGGGAUACCCGCUGAACUUAAGCAUAUCAAUAAGCGGAGGA